rnacentral:rRNA from 1 species
CAGAAGGGAGCUUGCUCCCGGAUGUUAGCGGCGGACGGGUGAGUAACACGUGGGUAACCUGCCUGUAAGACUGGGAUAACUCCGGGAAACCGGAGCUAAUACCGGAUAGUUCCUUGAACCGCAUGGUUCAAGGAUGAAAGACGGUUUCGGCUGUCACUUACAGAUGGACCCGCGGCGCAUUAUCUAGUUGGUGGGGUAAUGGCUCACCAAGGCGACGAUGCGUACCCGACCUGAGAGGGUGAUCGGCCACACUGGGACUGAGACACGGCCCAGACUCCUACGGGAGGCAGCAGUAGGGAAUCUUCCGCAAUGGACGAAAGUCUGACGGAGCAACGCCGCGUGAGUGAUGAAGGUUUUCGGAUCGUAAAGCUCUGUUGUUAGGGAAGAACAAGUGCGAGAGUAACUGCUCGCACCUUGACGGUACCUAACCAGAAAGCCACGGCUAACUACGUGCCAGCAGCCGCGGUAAUACGUAGGUGGCAAGCGUUGUCCGGAAUUAUUGGGCGUAAAGGGCUCGCAGGCGGUUUCUUAAGUCUGAUGUGAAAGCCCCCGGCUCAACCGGGGAGGGUCAUUGGAAACUGGGAAACUUGAGUGCAGAAGAGGAGAGUGGAAUUCCACGUGUAGCGGUGAAAUGCGUAGAGAUGUGGAGGAACACCAGUGGCGAAGGCGACUCUCUGGUCUGUAACUGACGCUGAGGAGCGAAAGCGUGGGGAGCGAACAGGAUUAGAUACCCUGGUAG